rfam:Glycine soja cultivar W05 scaffold524_33, whole genome shotgun sequence.
CGGUUAGGGGGAUGAUGUAUUAUUAUAGGGCCCUUAAGAUGCUUGCAUUCCUUGAUUCAGCAUCUGAGAUGGAUGUAAG